GGCUAUGGGACCUUCGUCCAGCUUCUCAGAUCCCAUCUUUCUGUUUGUGAAAUGGGGAUGAGGUUUAUCUUCAAGUAGUGUGAACAAUGAAUGGGAUAAUGUACAUACUGCUGGAAAUUAUGACAGUUACUACAAUAGUUAUUCUGCAGAAAUAACUGUACCAUGGCACAGGAAUAUAAAACAGAAAGCACGGUGUUGGGUUGGUUUGAAGAAACUAAGAGGCUAUUUCUGGCAUUUCCACUAUUCCACCAUGAUUUCUACCCCUCCUCCCGAAUGUUAGUGGUGUCCCUAUGGCAACAAGCACGCGCUACUCAAGGCUCAAUUUUCCAGCCGUUACCGACACUCUCCGCUGCCCAGAGAUUGUGAGGCGCAUCCCUCAACCCAGUUUCAGGCUGAUCCCCCUUGGCCCAAGGACGAGGAGCCACAGGGCAGUAUGGCCAAAGCGGCGGCCUCCUCGUCGCUGGAGGACUUGGACCUGAGCGGAGAGGAGGUCCAGCGACUCACCUCCGCCUUCCAGGACCCGGAGUUCCGGCGAAUGUUCUCCCAGUACGCCGAGGAACUCACCGACCCCGAGAACCGGCGACUCUACGAGGCGGAGAUCACCAUGCUGGAGCGUGAGCGAGGGGUGGAGGUGCGGUUCGUGCACCCAGAGCCGGGCUAUGUGCUGCGCACCAGCCUGGACGGAGCGCGGCGCUGCUUCGUGAACGUCUGCAGCAACGCGCUGGUUGGCGCACCCAGCAGCCGGCCCGGCUCCAGGGGCGACCAGGGCGCAGCGCCUGGCAGCCACUGGUCCCUGCCUUACAGCCUGGCGCCCGGCCGCGAGUACGCGGGGCGCAGUAGAACCCGCUACAUGGUCUACGACGUGGUCUUCCAUCCAGACGCGCUCGCACUGGCCCGGCGACACGAGGGCUUCCGUCAGAUGCUGGACACCACGGCCCUAGAGGCAGUCGAGAAGCAGUUCGGCGUGAAGCUAGACCGCAGGAAUGCCAAGACCCUGAAGGCCAAAUAUAAGGGGACCCGGGAGGCUGCGGUGCUACGCACGCCCCUGCCCGGGGGUAUCCCAGCCAGGCCCGAAGGGGAGCUGAAGGGUCCUCUCCCGGACUUCCCCUACCCCUACCAGUACCCGGCAGCCGCCGGAAACUCUGCAGCCCCCGGGCCCCGGGCGCCCUCCCCUCCGGAAGCGGCUUUGCGGCCCGCUCCCACCGAGCCUCGCUACAGCGUGGUGCAGCGCCACCACGUGGACCUCCAGGAUUACCGCUGCUCCCGGGACUCAGUCCCGAGCCCAGUGCCCCACGAGCUGGUGGUCACGAUCGAACUGCCGUUGUUGCGCUCAGCGGAGCAGGCGGCGCUGGAGGUGACAGGAAAGCUGCUGUGCCUCGACUCAACGAAACCCGACUACCGGCUGCGGCUCUCGCUCCCGUACCCAGUGGACGACGGCCGCGGCACGGCACAGUUUAACAAGGCUCGGCGGCAGCUGGUGGUGACGCUGCCAGUGGUGCUGCCGGCCGCGCGCCGGGAGCCCACAGUCACCGCCGCGGCCGCGCCGGAAGAGUCCGCGGGUCUGUCCGGAACUGACGGCCAGGCCUGCGCUUCCGCUCGCGCAGCGGAGGCGGGACCCGCGGGAGGUCGCGCCGAGGACCGAGGCCACGAUACCUGCGUGGCUGUGACUGCAGGCUCUGGGGUCACCACCCUGGGGGACCCCGAGGUGGCGCCCCAGCUGGCCGGCGCUGGAGAAGAGCAUGUCCCCGAGCUGGGGGAGCAGGACUUGAGCUGGCACGCGGGGUCGCCGCCGGGCAGCGGAGAGAAGCCAUCUCCCGGAGGAGAGAGCUCACCUGGUCGUGGAGGCUCCGCUUGUAUGUCCUUUCCCGGCCAAGCCUGGGAGUCUUCUGCGGGAAGAGAGAGCGCGCGCGGAAAUUGCAGUGUGGAGACGCGCGUGGAGUCGGAGGAAAAGGGAGGUGAGCGCUCCGCCCGCGCCAUGGGUGGUCCCAGAACUGAGAGCCGGGAACCUUUGUGUCCUCCGUUACUGUGUAAUCAGGACGAAGAAACCCUGACUCUGGUCAUUCAAGUGCCUCGGAUCCAGCCGCAAAGUCUUCAAGGAGAUCUGAGUCCCCUCUGGUACAAAUUACGCUUCUCCACACAAGAUUUAGUUUAUUCCUUCUUUUUGCAAUUUGCUCCAGAGAAUAAAUUGAGUACCAUAGAACCUGUGAUUAGCGUUUCUUCAAACAAUGCAGUGAUAGAACUGGCAAAAUCUCCAGAGAGCCAUGGACAUUGGAGAGAGUGGUAUUAUGGUGUAAACAACGAUUCUUUGGAGGAAAGGUUAUUUGUCAAUGAAGAAAAUGUUAAUGAGUUUCUUGAAGAAGUCCUGAGCGCUCCAUUCAAACAGUCUAUGUCCUCAACCCCACCAUUAAUUGAAGUUCUUCAGAUUACAGAUAAUAGGAUUCAAAUUAAUGCAAAGUUGCAAGAAUGUAGUAACUCUGAUCAGCUACAAGCAAAGGAAGAAAGCGUAAAUGAAGAAAGUCAUCUAACUGAAAAGGAAUAUAUAGAACAUUGUAAAACCUCUACAACUAAUUCUGAUUCAUCUGUAGCAGUUAAAGCACUACAAAUAGAUAGCUUUGGUUCAGUUACAUGCUUUCAACAAGAAUCUCUUGAUGUUUCUCAAAUGAUACUUGGAAAAGCUCAGCAACCUGAGUCAAAAAUGCAAUCUGAAUUUAUAAAAGAAAAAAGUGCUACUUGCUCACGUGAGGAAAAAGGUAACUUAAACGAGCUAGUAAUAACUGAAGAGAAAGAAAUAGAUGGAAAUCACCUAUCUUCAUUGUUGAACAAAACUGUAGUUCACAAUAUACCUGGAUUUGACAGCAUAAAAGAAACCAAUAUGCAGGAUGGUAGUGUACAGAUCAUUAAAGAUCAUGUGACCAAUUGUGCAUUCAGUUUUCAGAAUUCUUUGCUAUAUGAUUUGGAUUAAUUCUAUAUAAUUUUGAAAUUUAAAUAUUAAGGUUAAAGAAUGCCUGUAUCUAAAAUUCAUUUGUAAAAAGUUUUUUUAAAUUGCAAUUUUGAUUCUCAUGGGGUAAACUGGCAAUUUUUUUUUUGCUUCUGGAGUUUAAAGAGUCCUUAUAGAUAUAAGUUUUGUGAUUCUUGUAAUGGAUGUGUAUAUUUUGUAUUGGAGAGUUAAACAUGUAGUUUUAAUACAACCUCUCUCUAUAUAUAUGUGUGUGUGUGUGUGUAUAUAUAU